ensembl:misc_RNA Y_RNA Y RNA
GGCUGGUCCAAGUGCAGUGGUGUUUACAGAUAACUGAUCACAACCAGUUACAGAUUUUGUUGCUCCUUCUCUACUCCCACUGCUUCACUUGACUAGCCUAAA